AGUGAACGCUGGCGGUAGGCCUAACACAUGCAAGUCGAACGGCAGCACAGUAAGAGCUUGCUCUUACGGGUGGCGAGUGGCGGACGGGUGAGGAAUACAUCGGAAUCUACUUUUUCGUGGGGGAUAACGUAGGGAAACUUACGCUAAUACCUCAUACGACCUACGGGUGAAAGCAGGGGAUCUUCGGACCUUGCGCGAUUGAAUGAGCCGAUGUCGGAUUAGCUAGUUGGCGGGGUAAAGGCCCACCAAGGCGACGAUCCGUAGCUGGUCUGAGAGGAUGAUCAGCAACACUGGAACUGAGACACGGUCCAGACUCCUACGGGAGGCAGAAGUGGGGAAUAUUGGACAAUGGGCGCAAGCCUGAUCCAGCCAUACCGCGUGGGUGAAGAAGGCCUUCGGGUUGUAAAGCCCUUUUGUUGGGAAAGAAAAGCAGCAGGUUAAUACCCCGCUGUUCUGACGGUACCCAAAGAAUAAGCACCGGCUAACUUCGUG
rnacentral:rRNA from 1 species